UACGUAGGGGGCAAGCGUUGUCCGGAAUCAUUGGGCGUAAAGCGCGUGUAGGCGGUUUCGUAAGUCUGCUGUGAAAGUCGGAGGCUCAACCUUCGAAAGCCGGUGGAUACUGUGAGACUUGAGUACGGAAGAGGAGAGUGGAAUUCCUGGUGUAGCGGUGGAAUGCGCAGAUAUCAGGAAGAACACCGGUGGCGAAGGCGGCUCUCUGGGACGGUACUGACGCUGAGACGCGAAAGCGUGGGGGAGCGAACAGG
rnacentral:rRNA from 1 species